rnacentral:rRNA from 1 species
ACGCUAGCUACAGGCUUAACACAUGCAAGUCGAGGGGAAACGGCAUUAAGUGCUUGCACUUUUUGGACGUCGACCGGCGCACGGGUGAGUAACGCGUAUCCAACCUUCCCAUGACUAAGGGAUAACCUGCCGAAAGGCAGACUAAUACCUUAUGGUCUUCACUGACGGCAUCAGAUGUGAAGUAAAGAUUUAUCGGUUAUGGGUGGGGAUGCGUCUGAUUAGUUAGUUGGCGGGGUAACGGCCCACCAAGGCAACGAUCAGUAGGGGUUCUGAGAGGAAGGUCCCCCACAUUGGAACUGAGACACGGUCCAAACUCCUACGGGAGGCAGCAGUGAGGAAUAUUGGUCAAUGGGCGAGAGCCUGAACCAGCCAAGUAGCGUGCAGGAUGACGGCCCUAUGGGUUGUAAACUGCUUUUGUAUGGGGAUAAAGUCAAUCACGUGUGAUUGUUUGCAGGUACCAUACGAAUAAGGACCGGCUAAUUCCGUGCCAGCAGCCGCGGUAAUACGGAAGGUCCGGGCGUUAUCCGGAUUUAUUGGGUUUAAAGGGAGCGUAGGCUGGAGAUUAAGUGUGUUGUGAAAUGUAGACGCUCAACGUCUGACUUGCAGCGCAUACUGGUUUCCUUGAGUACGCACAACGUUGGCGGAAUUCGUCGUGUAGCGGUGAAAUGCUUAGAUAUGACGAAGAACUACGAUUGCGAAGGCAGCUGACGGGAGCGCAACUGACGCUGAAGCUCGAAGGUGCGGGUAUCGAACAGGAUUAGAUACCCUGGUAGUCCGCACAGUAAACGAUGGAUGCCCGCUGUUGGUACGUGGUAUCAGCGGCUAAGCGAAAGCAUUAAGCAUCCCACCUGGGGAGUACGCCGGCAACGGUGAAACUCAAAGGAAUUGACGGGGGCCCGCACAAGCGGAGGAACAUGUGG